rnacentral:lncRNA from 1 species
CUCAGCUUCUAGAGUCUGAGAAGGCCAAGAUCAAGGAGAGAGAGAGAUGUGCUCUCUGGCGGAAGGCAAGAGCCCAACCCCAUAAUAGAGACCCUCGACUGCAGUGGUGAGGACCUCAUCACCACGAAGGUCCACGUGGAGUGCUGACGCCCUGGGGACUGAGCUUCCGGUGCUUGUAGGAAGGACUCAAACAUCCCAAGUCCACUUCGGAGAAGCUCCACGAAGCCAGGACUGAACCAUUUCUGAAAGCAGCACACGUGGUCACUGUCAGUCACCAGACACCAAAGGAGUCUUAACCCACUCUUCUGUGCCUUCCGUCUGCUAGGAUAUGUUUAUUUUUCCCCACAC